rnacentral:rRNA from 1 species
UCCGUAGGUGAACCUGCGGAAGGAUCAUUAACGAGUUUUGAAACGGGUUGUAGCUGGCCUUCCGAGGCAUGUGCACGCCCUGCUCAUCCACUCUACCCCUGUGCACUUACUGUAGGUUGGCGUGGGCUCCUUUGCGGGAGCAUUCUGCCGGCCUAUGUAUACUACAAACACUUUAAAGUAUCAGAAUGUAAACGCGUCUAACGCAUCUAUAAUACAACUUUUAGCAACGGAUCUCUUGGCUCUCGCAUCGAUGAAGAACGCAGCGAAAUGCGAUAAGUAAUGUGAAUUGCAGAAUUCAGUGAAUCAUCGAAUCUUUGAACGCACCUUGCGCUCCUUGGUAUUCCGAGGAGCAUGCCUGUUUGAGUGUCAUGGAAUUCUCAACUUAUAAAUCCUUGUGAUCUAUAAGCUUGGACUUGGAGGCUUGCUGGCCCUUGCGGUCGGCUCCUCUUGAAUGCAUUAGCUUGAUUCCGUACGGAUCGGCUCUCAGUGUGAUAAUUGUCUACGCUGUGACCGUGAAGUGUUUUGGCAAGCUUCUAACCGUCCAUUAGGACAACUUUUUAACAUCUGACCUCAAAUCAGGUAGGACUACCCGCUGAACUUAAGCAUAUCAAUAAGCGGAGGA